GAUGAGGUGUCCGAGUGGCUAAGGCGAUGAACUGUUAAUCCAUUGGGCGCUGCCCGCGUGGGUUAGAAUCCCAUACUUGUCG